AUUUGCCAUUCCUUCAAGAUUCUAAUUUAAGUGAAGGUCAAGUAUGCUACUUGGCAGCCAUUGAAUAGUGACUGUUAAUCUGUGUGUGUGUGUGUGUGUGUGUGUGUGUGUGUGUGUGAGAGAGAGAGAGAGAGAGAGAACUCUUUUGGAAAACAGAUGUCUCGAGGAAACCAGGCCACGGCUUCACCAGCAAAGCACUUGCUAAUUAUGCUGCACAAUGUGUCAGACUUAUAUAUCUGAACAAUAUUAACAAGCUAGCUAUGAGAAGGGAGCAGGGUUACUCUGCUUUGAAAACUAUCCACUUCAUUGAUCUACUUGGUAGCUGUUAGAAUACACUAAGAGGAAACAGCAAUGUCAGGAAUGAAGCUCUAAUGUUGCUAACAACAUUCUGGAAGAGACACUGGAGACAGCGUUGAGAGGUAUCUGCAGCAGGCUGUGUGACCCAGCAGCUGGAUAUUCUCAGAAGCUCAGUCCAUGAGACCUUUGAGAACAAGGCAGACAGGACCCCAGGGGAAUUUUCUGGCUUCUUCUUGCUCCAGCCAAAAUUCCAAAAUGGAAUAGUGUGAAGUGUGAUAAGACCAAAAUGGAAGGGAAGAGGGGAGGGGGGCGGGAAAGAACCCCAGAGGUUGCUGUUUUGGAAGACUGGGGAACUGGGGACAGUGGGGGAGGAGGAGGGAGACAAAUUCCUGCCUGGAUAUUCAAUGCAAGAAGAGUUUCCUUUUCUGAUUAUAACAGUUACUGGGUCAUCAGGAUUUAAUUUUUACUGAGUGCUGAGUUCCUAAACAGUGUGCAUCCAAAUGUGUCACCAUGAGGAAGGAACCGUUCUGUGAGGACAGCGUCACUAUCACUACAAUCCCACAGAAGCGAUGACACAGAAGCUUAAAGUGUGUCCUGUGUUGGAAGAUGAUCAGUGCAUUUCUGGACAUAAUUUCAGGUGACAACGAUUUGUAAAAGGGACUCUCAAGCCAAGCAUCUAUUGGAGACAGGCAUAGUGCUACAUAUCUGCAGUCUUAGUUUCUCAGAAGUUUGAGGACUGCCAGGGCAACUUU
rnacentral:lncRNA from 1 species